AUGUAGUAGCGUUCAUAUGCCACUUUCUCUCUGUUUUUCCCCCCUGCCUUUGCAUCUCUGUUUUCUAUCUUUUUCUCAAUGGUCCAGCUGUGGUUGGAAUCCUGUUAAUGUGAUUGCUUUGGUCUUAAGUUUCAGGUUGUCUGUUUCUCUGUCUUUUAUUCUCUGUGGCAAACGCCUUAUGCUCUACGGUUUAGAAUGCUCUUUGUUGCUCUAUUUGUGACAUUGUCAUUGCAGUCUUUGUGUUACAGGUAUGCUUUUUUGGCAGCACUUUCUGGUCUCUCUUUUCUUUUUUUAGGUUUGUUGAUUCAGGUUUAGGCCAUGUGUAAGUGCUCUGCUAUUUUCUUUGGUUGCUCGCCUUCGUGAUUUAUUUCUAAUUUGGUGUUCUUUUGUUCCUGGUUGUGCUAGGCAUGCAUGCAUGCCUGUUAUUUGCUUUAGGCAGGGUGAUGUGUUUCAUAUGGAGGUUGAUUAUGCAGGUCUGGCUCUGCAAUUGAAUGGGGACUCUGUGCUUUUAUGGUUGCAAAACACCUUCAGGUCUGUUUUGUUCAAAACUCAAUAGAGGCCCGUCCAUGCACUGCCAUAAGUCACACGUCCCUUGCAUUCAAUAUUUCAUGACAGCUAUCUCUUUCUAGCUCUUUAUCCUUCCACAUGACCACAACUUUAGCAUUAACAUACUUCGCAAUGAGUCAAAUUGUUUUUGGCAUUGGUAAGAAAAAAAUUGAAUUUGUUUACAAUUCCACCCUGCGUUUGAGUUUGAGGAAAACAACCACCGAUGCGAAGAGAUAAGCUUACAACGAUCGUGACCUUCAAAUGGGUUGUCUUUCCACUAAUAGCUGAAGAAGAUCCAUCAUGCAGUGUGCCAUCACCAUCAAGUUUGGAUGAACCAGCCAUACCAGCUCAAUGUCAACGUCUCUCGCCUUCCGCGCACACGCGGAUCAUUCUUCGCCAUGUGUUCUCUCCAUGAAGACAAAAAGAAAAAGACAAAAAGAAAAGGGGAGUACUUAGAUUUAUCGGAUGUGGUUCUGGUUUUUUUAUUGUUAUUUUUAUAAAUGGUUUUUGCAGUUGUUUUUUUUU